UCUGCGGUGAUGAGCCUCUAACAUGUAAGAAGAGCAUUAUUGAAUUGUUCUUCAAUGAAAUGCACUUGUUACGCUUGGCUUCUGAGCAUG
rfam:Morus notabilis contig8086, whole genome shotgun sequence.